rnacentral:misc_RNA from 2 species
AACGCACCUUGCACUCCUUGGUAUUCCGAGGAGUAUGCCUGUUUGAGUGUCAUGAAAUUAUCAACUUCAUAGUUUUAUUACUUUGAAGCUUGGAUUUGGAAGCUUGCUGGCUCUCUAGUCAGCUCUUCUUAAAUGUAUUAGCUGCUUGUCCGUGGGUUGGCUCAGAGUGUGAUAAGUAUCUACACUUGGUGGCUGCUUGCUUGGAUGUGGCUUCUAAUCGUCUUCGGACAACUCUUUAAGAUCUGACCUCAAAUCAGGUAGGACUACCCGCUGAACUUAA